rnacentral:lncRNA from 1 species
AUCAUUUGGUAGAAGAAGCAUGUCGCUCAUUACUCGUGGCAUUGGCAUGUUUUCCAUUUUCCAGACGGGAUUUUUGUCCAUAAUUUUCAGGCGGCCGCAGGUUGAGGCGGCACGUUGAAACUUUCCCUUUUUAGCGAGCUGGAAUGCAUUGCGCGAGGCACCGCCACAAAUCAUGAUUUCGGGCUCGAUUGGACGGUUUUCAUCAAGGGGAAGUAGAACCAGGGAGCCUGAACUGGGAUAAUUUCGCGGUUCACUGCCGUUAAUGGCCGGGAAUUCCCUGAUCAUCCGGUUUUGUUUGUAAUCAAAGACUAUUGAUCUUGUGUUGGCAAAAAUGAAUAAAUUUCCAUCUGGUAAUAGGUGUACAAAUGGAUACAAAUUGUUUUCAUCUGAAUCUCUAGUUUCUCUGAGAAAAUUGAGCCUAACAGCUUUUUGUGAAAAAGAAGAAUCUUGAGAAUUUGGAUGGUAGAAUUCAUAGUUAAACUGUGCUCGACCACCGAUGAUAAUUAUCCGUCCAUCGGGGAGUAUUUGAUUCGUUGCGUACCAUCUACGCUCCAACAGGGCUUGGGGGAACUCGACCCAAUCACAAUUAAAUCCGUUACAAGGAGCUAAAGUGCGUAUGACGUGAUCUCCAUCAUUGUAUCCCCCAGUUUGGACUAAGGUUCCAUUCGGAAGUACUGCACCUGAGGAGCACCAGGUGUCGGUUUGCACCAUCAGCGGGCGAAAAGUAUUCGUCCCAAUGUCAUAUAGAAUUGAAUGAGCCGUGCAAUCUAUCUUGAGUUCAGUGUCAUUGGGGUCAUAGCGGCAGCGCCCAUCGGGGAGAGAGAGGUUAGAGCGACCAAAAUCAGUCCUAUCAAACAUGACAACUUUGUUAUUUUUAAGGAGUUGCAUGUGCAUUGCUGAAAUUCCUAUGCUUUCGUGUAAAAUAUGCCAUUCCCCCUCGUGGUCGGAUAAUGCAGACGUAAUUUGGGACAUCAUCCGGCUGGACUGGACAAUUAAUAUAAGCAAGUGGAAAAUGAAAGAUACAAUUUUUGUGGGCAUAAUUAUGGGUAGGAAGCUAGUAAAGGAAGAAUUUGGUACAAAUUUGUUGCUAAGGUUGAUGAAAUAUAGGUAUUGUAAGAAACUCAUGGAAAAAAGUGUACUACCAGACUGUUUAUAUAUAUAUACACUACUCUUGAAAAAUGAGGUGAGGUAUUCAGCUUGGGAAAAGACGAGUCCCCAGGAAUUACAUCAAAACUCAAAGAACAUGAGUAAGUCACAUAAUUCUAAGCCACGUAUAUUAUGGAAGAUUUCCGGCAAGAAACAUGGAUUCUGGUACAUAUAUUUGCACGUUGAUCCUUUCUUUUUUUUCUUUUUCUUUUUUGCUUUUUUUUUUCUUUUUUCUUUUUUUUGUGCUUUCUUUUUCGUCUCCAGUUUUGGUUAGUCGAUACGAGUAUAGUAGCAUCAAUUGAUUUACAUGUCCACAGUCCAAAUUAAUGGUACAGGAAACCGGUUUUCUCCAUUUAUUUGACAGGAAAAAGAAAGAAAUAUAGCCACAUUUCUUGGAGCAUGAAGCAAAUUGCUGCUACAACUGUGUUCCUCUCAUUUCGCAAGGAGUUAUUAAUCAUUCAAAGCUUGAUACUAAUUCUUUAAAAUCUAUUUUUCUUCAAAUUCAUUUUCAAUUAUACAUUCUGCUAAUAAAAUAAAUUAUAUGUGUGUGUGUAUAUAUAUAUAUACACACCCACUUUUUACAAAAUUUAUUGUAAAAAAAACUUACAUAAACACAAACUCAAAAUCUAAUAAUUCAUCAAACUUGACACAUUAUUUGCAACGCAUCUUAAACCGUGGUAAAUAAUGAUUUUACCAAUAAUAUAUCCAUUACAAAUGUUCACACGACACCAUUAUUUGGGACAGUCCCCCUGCGUAGGUUCUCUGUAGCAAAUACGUCAAUAAAAAGAAACAAUUUUGUCGAAGUCACUCUUGGGCUUCUGAGAAUUCGAAUUAAUGCUGUUCUUUAAUACUUCAAACUCGUGUCUUUAGUCAAAAAAAUUAUUUUAAAGAUUAAAUUUUUAGAACCGAAUGAAUCCCAUCAAUGAACACUGAACACUGAACACUUGAGAAAUGUUGUCUGUAUCUCUUGAGAAUCCGAUAAAAUAUUGUCUAGAGUUAAUGUUAAUUUUAAUUUUAAAAUCAACAAGUUAUUGAUCAAUGCUUAGCUCUCAUUCAGCUACAUCACUGUUAGACAAUUUGUUGUCAAACGACCUCCCGAGCAAUGAUGUAACCUCGGUUUUAUUUAUUAUCAAUCGACCUUGGCCAUAUAAUUGAAUUAUAUGUCGACACUAUCAUCGAGACAACCCAACCCACAUCUCUAUGGACCAUUAAAAGCAACCUAUUUUAAUAGUGUUGCUCAUGGUUCGUCCCAUUUACUUGGAGGGCUAUGGUAUUCAUUUGGAGCCCAUUACCUUAUGUUGAGUCUUGUUUGGACCACUUAGUUUACCUAACCUAACUUACCAUUUUUGAUUACUCAUUUGGCUUAUAACCUACGGCUCCUCUAUGCCUCCAUUAUGAAGAAUACUCCAUCUCUUUCUGUGACUUGGAUUCUCGCAAAAGAAAUGAAUCCCUGAUCCUGUACCCCAUGCACCGUACUCAUAGAAAUGAAAAGGAAGAAAAGAAAACUCACUUUACGGCUCGAUUCUCUGUUAAGGAAUCACUUUACAAUCUAAAAGUUAUAGUAUAUUCUUUGCUUGCUGCUUCCUGCACCUCUUUGUAAUUAUUUCUCGGUGAAAAUUGAGUGCAUUUUUCAUAGAAAAAAGCAACAGAUUUAGGUUUUGUCACUUUAUCUUUUAUCAAUACAUAUAAAGUCUAUGGGAGUAUGAAAAGAAAAUUGUACACAAGUUGACAUUAAUGCGAAUGCAAGCAUUUUGAAUUCAAAUUUUGAUCAAACAGAAGAAUUUUACUUCUAUCUGAGAGUACAUUAUGCAUUCUAGUCAUCACUAGAUAUAUUCGAAGAAACCUCAGUAAGAACACUAGAGUCAGAAUAUGAAGAGGAUGAUGAAGAAGAAGAAUCUGUAUCCUCGGACUUGUUAUUUCUUUUGUUCAAAAAUAUGUGACACAAAAUCCAAUUUCCAAUUUCCUGCAAAAGAGUGACAAAUAUUGAUUAUAAUAGAAGCUAAAAGAAUAAGGCCCUCUAUCCCUGGAUGGGGGUAAGUUUAUGUUCUAAUAUGUGGUUGACAUAGAGUGGAACACAUGUUUACUAGAAUAAAUAGGCUCCGCCUCAUCGGCCUCUCGGACUUUAAUUUACUGUCUAUUUAUCAAAGAUGCUUAAUAGGUUGGGGGCACAAGGGCAGCAUCCCCGAACAAGAAUAUUUUUGAAUUUUUUGCUCCCUUGGAUGUAGGUACUUCAUCAAACCACUUAAAUUUAUGUUCUUCUUUCUUUAUUGAUUUCAUAUUCUUCAUCAUUAUUAUUAUUGUUGCUCUCACGACAGUUUAUUUAAAUUUCUGCACCUUUAGUAACAUGCAACCUAUAGUGGUUUAAUAGAAGAACGUACUAACCUUCUAUGCUAGAUAUACUUGUGUAUGUAUAGAAUGUCUAAUAUACCUUACAGUUAAAUUAAGUACACCUAAAACAAUGUCAUAUGAGAAUUUGGGAUCGAUGGAUGAUAUGUUAGAGUGUCAAAGAAUGAGGGAUAAGCCGGUAAAAGUUACCUGAGGGGAUUGUAAAUCAGUGGCCUAGUUACAGGAUUUCGUGCUAAUUCCCAUCCUGCCGUACCUGAACUGGCGCCGUUUAUUAUAAUGAUAUCAUCAUUUGGUAGAAGAAGCAUGUCGCUCAUUACUCGUGGCAUUGGCAUGUUUUCCAUUUUCCAGACGGGAUUUUUGUCCAUAAUUUUCAGGCGGCCGCAGGUUGAGGCGGCACGUUGAAACUUUCCCUUUUUAGCGAGCUGGAAUGCAUUGCGCGAGGCACCGCCACAAAUCAUGAUUUCGGGCUCGAUUGGACGGUUUUCAUCAAGAGGAAGUAGAACCAGGGAGCCUGAACUGGGAUAAUUUCGCGGUUCACUGCCGUUAAUGGCCGGGAAUUCCCUGAUCAUCCGGUUUUGUUUGUAAUCAAAGACUAUUGAUCUUGUGUUGGCAAAAAUGAAUAAAUUUCCAUCUGGUAAUAGGUGUACAAAUGGAUACAAAUUGUUUUCAUCUGAAUCUCUAGUUUCUCUGAGAAAAUUGAGCCUAACAGCUUUUUGUGAAAAAGAAGAAUCUUGAGAAUUUGGAUGGUAGAAUUCAUAGUUAAACUGUGCUCGACCACCGAUGAUAAUUAUCCGUCCAUCGGGGAGUAUUUGAUUCGUUGCGUACCAUCUACGCUCCAACAGGGCUUGGGGGAACUCGACCCAAUCACAAUUAAAUCCGUUACAAGGAGCUAAAGUGCGUAUGACGUGAUCUCCAUCAUUGUAUCCCCCAGUUUGGACUAAGGUUCCAUUCGGAAGUACUGCACCUGAGGAGCACCAGGUGUCGGUUUGCACCAUCAGCGGGCGAAAAGUAUUCGUCCCAAUGUCAUAUAGAACU